rnacentral:rRNA from 1 species
UACGUAGGGGGCAAGCGUUGUCCGGAUUUAUUGGGCGUAAAGAGCGUGUAGGCGGCCAGACAGGUCCGUUGUGAAAACUAGAGGCUUAACCGGGAAAGGUCGUCGGAUACUGCAGAACUAGAGGACGGUAGAGGCGUGUGGAAUUCCGGGUGUAGUGGUGAAAUGCGUAGAGAUCCGGAGGAACACCAGUGGCGAAGGCGACACGCUGGGCCGUACCUGACACUGAUGCGCGACAGCAUGGGGAGCAAACAGG